rnacentral:lncRNA from 1 species
AACACACUAAAAUUUUAAUCAAUACAAAAAAGGAAUAGCACAGAUAAGGUGACGAUCUCUGAUAUGUUGCUCCUAUCAUUUCCCUACAUACUUGAUCUGUUGAAGUCCACUUUAAAUUCUUUUGGAUUCCUACAUUUAAAAAAAUGGACACAAUAUAAUUUAUUUGACAAAAGAAAAGACAACAUGAGAGGAAAAUUACUAUAAUAGUUAAGUAACAUAUGAAAGUGAUCAAUAAUAAAAAUUCACGUCACAUAUUUCAUACAUUACCAUUUAUGUUAAUGUUGUGAGGUUAGAGGAUAAGGAUACAUUUAAUAGCACCGCUACUUUUCACUCUAAUAUUCAUGUAGUGUGAGGACACUUGUCCAUAAUAUAACAUCAAUUCAUAAUUCAACCAGUAAAUCAAAGUCUAUAUUGGUUUUGAAUUUGUGUAGCAUGUGGAUCAACAGAGCAAGUUGUUGGUAUGCAAAAUGAGAUUGUCUAAUUUAUUGUAAUUGCUCCUUUUUUUCAUCAAAAGGUUUUGUGAUGCAAUUGUUGUUGCUAAAAUUUUGAAUGCCCUUUCGGUUAUUCCACACAUUGAAGUUAAUCCCGCGUGGCAAGUGGCAAGAUUCGAGGUAUAAAGUGAGUAUGUUAACCUGGAAUUGUUCCUAGAUGUUAUUAUUUCUGUCCAAGGGGAGCCAUUGAUGGGAAACUUCUUUUGCGUUCAGUAAUUUUCUUCUGACUACAGCUUUAUGCAGAAACAAGUUUUUUUUUUUAACCGGGUUAACAAACAUGCCGAGUUGUGCAUGGACUUCGUUGUGUUUAAGCCUUUUUAAGGCAUGGUUGGAGAGUGGAAAAACAAAGAUUUACAAUGUUUAAACUAUGGACUGUUCAAGUCACUUUGUAUUUGUAUUAUGGUUUAGUAGUAUUCUUUUUCACUUAUAAAUGAAAGGUUUUAGGUUCGAUUCUCGUCAAAAACAAAUUUGAAUUACAUUAUUGCUAGCUCAUUAUGAGAUUAAGUCUACCCUCUCUUCAUUAUUGUAAAUGUCGUUUGUUAAGAAGACUAUGGACUGUCCAACGAUUUCAGGGAAAUGUUUUCUUGUUCCUCUUUUUUGUUCCUUAUUCUUCGCUGUUAGAAAAAGAGUAGAAAAAAAAGAGAGAGCAAAGAGUGCGGGUUAGAAAUAAAAUAUAAGAAAAAGAAAAUCAUAGAGAAACGAGAGAGAGAUCGAGAGAAAAAUUAGACGAUCAUUUCCUUCUAUUAUUAUUAACAAGUUGCUUUCUUGUAGAAGGAAAUGAUACUCUAAUUUCUCUUUCUUUAUAUUUAACUAGCCUUUUUGCACACGCCUUGCGAGUGCGAAAGGCUUUUUUUUACAUCACAACGCGCUACGCGUAGCAAUCAAAAUUUUUUUCCCUUCCACAUUUGGUUCAAGUGGAAAAGUGUUUUAAUUUUGUUUUUGUGAAGGCAAAUGAACCAUACUAAUAUAAACAAAAUAUAAAUUGAACCAGUAAUUGAAACACACUAAAAUUUUAAUCAAUACAAAAAAGGAAUAGCGCAGAUAAGGUGACGAUCUCUAAUAUGUUGCUCCUAUCAUUUCCCUACAUACUUGAUCUGUUGAAGUCCACUUUAAAUUCUUUUGGAUUCCUACAUUUAAAAAAAAAGUAAAACUAAUGAAAAGAGCUUGAAAACUUUGAGUUUUAAUGAUAAAGACAAAAUAAAGGGUAAAGUGAAUAGUACCAGGAUUGACUUUUUAGUGUAAAAAUGUGGUUUUUCGUUAAAGUGAACAGUACCGGGAGCUUUUCGUUAAAGUUCCCUUAAAAAAAUGGACACAAUAUAAUUUAUUUGACAAAAGAAAAGACAACAAGAGAGGAAAAUUACUAUAAUAGUUAAGUAACAUAUGAAAGUGAUCAAUAAUAAAAAUUCACGUCACAUAUUUCCUACAUUACCAUUUAUGUUAAUGUUGUGAGGUUAGAGGAUGAAGUGGAUGUGUGACCGCCGUAGAAUGCAAGCUGGAUGGAUGAAGUGGAAGAGUGCAUCCGGCGUGUUGUGUGACCGCCGUAUGCCACUGAAGCUCAAGGGAAAAUUUUAUAGGACGGCAAUAAGGCCGGCGAUGCUGUAUGGCACAGAAUGUUGGGCGGUGAAGCAUCAACACGUACACAAAAUGGGUGUAGCGGAGAUGAGGAUGCUUCGUUGGAUGUGUGGGCACACGAGAAAGGAUAAGAUUAGGAAUGAGGAUAUCCGGGGUAAAGUAGGAGUAGCCGAAAUUGAAGGAAAGAUGAGAGAAAAUCGGUUACGGUGGUUUGGACAUGUGCAAAGAAGGCCUACUGACGCUCCGAUUAGAAGAUGCGACCAUGGGACAGAGGUUCAGGGCCGAAGGGGUAGAGGAAGACCUAGGAAAACUUUGGAAGAGACCUUAAGAAAAGACUUAGAGUACUUGGAUCUAACGGAGGACAUGACACAGGACAGAACACAAUGGCGUUCUAAGAUUCAUAUAGCCGAUCCCACUCAGUGACUUGGAUUUUCCAAGUCUCAAACCGAGAAGUUUUCCUCACUCGAGAAAUUAAGGGAACACUACCUCAACCUACAUGCUCCACUCACAAAGCUUCAACAUACAAGCUUCAACAAAAGAAAAUUCAAAGAACUUAGCGAAGAAGGCUUUGGUGUAUUUAACACAAUACGUUGAAAUGAAGGAAAGCUGAUUUAUUGAUAUCCCCGAUCAGUUACAAAUAUGUACAUAUACUUGAGUCAAAAUAAACAAACAAGAGGGAGCCUUCACAAAGGUUGCUUAGAAGAAGUCUCAGCAGUCGGUAGAGCCCCAGCAAGAGAAGGCACCGGAGGGGGAUCAUUCGGAGCCUCAGUACUGGACAGAACCCUAGAAGGAGGAGGCAUCAGAGGUUGAUCAUUUGGAGCUUCAUUACGCGGUUCAGCCCCAGAAGACGAAGGCAAUAAAUGCCUUUGGAACAAACCCACAAAUCUCUGAUGAUCAAGUAAAACCUGACCAUCAGAUUCCUUCAUCUGCUCAAGCUUCCUCUUCAUGUUUGUAGCAUAGUCAUGUGCGAGCCGGUGCAACUGUUUAUUCUCAUGCUUGAGCCCUCUAAUCUCCUGUUUGAGACUCAUCACUUCAGUCGCCAAUGAUUCAACUUGGCGGGUUCGAGCAAAUAGGCGUUGGGCCAUAUUAGACACAUAACCUGCACACUGAACACUCAGAGCCAGAGAAUCCUUAACAGCCAACUCAUCAGACCGUUUGGAAAGUAGUCUGUUAUCUUUGGGAGUGAGAAGGUUCCUGGCCACUACCGCAGCGGUCAUAUCAUUCUUCAUCACGAAAUCCCCAACUGUAAGAGGACCAGUAGGGGAGACGAAGGAUGGGCGCCAUAUGUUGUCUGGAGAAGGCGGGGCUACCUCUUCAACAAGGUUCAAGUCAAAACGACGGUCAGAGGGGCCAGACGUUUUCAAAGGUGUUGAAGAGAGAAGAGGUCGGACAAAUCAAGAUCUUAGAAGUGCAAGAAUGAAGCUUCUACUGGUGGAUAUUCAAGUGUGCUUUGGAACUUAAUGUCAGCCCCUAUAAAAAUCUGCACUCGACGAAGCUUCAGAAAUCGAAGAGGCGCCUGCUCAGAAAUCGAAGAGGCGUUUGCUUUCUCAAAAGCUGGGCUGCUUAGAGACCACGAGGGUCGAUCUCAGAAAUCGAAGAGGCGUUGGCUUUCUCAAAAGCUGGGCUGCUCAAAGACCACGAAUGCCGAUCUCAGAAAUCGAAGAGGCUUGCUUUCUCAAAAGCUGGGCUGCUCAGAGACCACGAGGGCCGAUCUCAGAAAUCGAAGAAGCACCUACUUUUCCAGCCUCGUCAGCACCUGUCACACGCACACUCAGCUUUGCGGAAAUUAUGGGCAUUCUGUCGAAGAUUUCUGGCGAAGUAGAAAGCACAUGAAUCGUACUGUUCAAUCAUCCACUUCCCACACGCAACAGUAGAUCAUGGGUACCACAGAUAACUUUGCCAAAGUUCUCUGACAAAGUUGAGACACGUGAAGCUUGCAGCUCCCACUACAUCGCUCUGACCAAGAAGGGUAAAAGAAUAGCAAAGAAACAACACUACCAAAGUUUAGACACAUAAAUUUUGAAGGUCUAGCUACCAUAUUAUUACCCACAAGGGUAAAGGAACAGUACCACUGCUGGAUAAUUGGAAAGUCCCGGUGUGUCAACCUCUGUGCUUCGUGGCAAGGUAGACUAGCAAACAUGCCCAACCUUUACUCACAUUCGAGAAAACACUCCCAACAAGAUUGCUUGCUCCAAAAUCGAAGAGGCACCGCCCUCCGAAUCUCGAGAGCCAGACUCUCAACAUGAUUACUUUCUCAAAAAUCGAAGAGAGGGUAAAGGAACAGUACCACUACUGGAUAAUUGGAAAGUCCCUGUGUGUCAACCUCUGUGCUUCGUGGCAAGGUAGACUAGCAAACAUGCCCAACCUUUACUCACAUUCGAGAAAACACUCCCAACAAGAUUGCUUGCCCCAAAAUCGAAGAGGCACCACCCUCCGAAUCUCGAGAGCCAGACUCCCAACAUGAUUACUUUCUCAAAAAUCGAAGAGAGGGUAAAGGAACAGUACCACUGCUGGAUAGUUGGAAAGUCCCUGUGUGUCAACCUCUGUGCUUCGUGGCAAGGUAGACUAUCAAACAUGCCCAACCUUUACUCACAUUCGAGAAAACACUCCCAACAAGAUUGCUUGCUCCAAAAUCGAAGAGGCACCGCCCUCCGAAUCUCGAGAGCCAGACUCCCAACAUGAUUACUUUCUCAAAAAUCGAAGAGACACCGCUCUCCGAAUCUCGAGAGCCAGACCCCCAGCAUGAUUGCUUUCUCAAAAAUCGAAGAGGCAUCGUUCUCCGAAUCUCGAGAGCCAGAUCCCCGACAGGAUUGCUUGUUCAAAAACCGAAGAGGCACCACUUUCCCAACUUCAAGAGCUGGAUCUCCUUGGAUAAAGCUUGUCUGUAAUCUUCACACGCAACAUCAGCUUUCCAGAUACCACAGACCACUUUUUCAAAGUGCUCUGACAGAGUUAAAACAUGUGAAGCUGAUAGCUCCCACUACCGUGCUAUGACCAAGCAGGGUAAAGGAAUAGCAUUAUUACUUGAUGUUAGGGAGACUCCUAUAUAUGUCGACCUCCAUCCCCAACGGACAGGCAGACCUGCAAAAAUGCUCAACCCUUCCUCUUAUCUGAGAGGGCACUCCCAACGAAGCCUUUCGAAAAUUUCAGCUUUCUUUCCCCCCGAUAAUACCUUUGUAAACAAGCUAUACUAGAGCAAGAAUAUCUCAUAUCAUCAGGGUUAAAAGCAAGAGUAUCCCAUAUCAUGCUUUUUCCCUGUCUUUUCCUUUGGCCUUGUUCUUACCUGCAAGACAAGGAGAAAGAGAGCAAUCAGUCAGCACUUGGAAUCAAGCUUCCAGCCAGGAACUGACUGCCUGGAAUUACUUACCUGGCAUUGCUCUCGAGUACUCAUCUUCAACAUCUUAGGCUUCCAGGGAAGAUACUACAUCUGCCUGAGGAACAGCUAGGGCAAGUGAGAAGGAUACAAGGAAGCAUGUGGAGACAAGCGUAACAGCACACGUGCCGAUACAUCCACUACUCUGUCAAAAGCAAAAGUAUCCCAUAUCAGCAGGGUCGAACGUACUCUAGAUUUGAUGGACUUGUUUUGACCCUCAAAUUCUUCAGUCGGCCUUAUACUCUGGAGGAAACCAGAAAACCCUCCAGCCCAGUUCAAGAAUAAGCCUGUGGAAAGUUACUUCUUCAAAAGCAAAAGUAUCCCAUAUCAUCUCUUCUCAUUUUUCUUCUCUUUAUCCUUCAUGCUGCCUGCAAGAUAGGGAGAAUGUGAACAAUCAGCCGGAGCUCUGAUUGCUUACCUUGUCUGUCACCUCUUUCAGCAGAUACCUAGCUCGGCGACUUGGAAGACUCCUACUACAUGGUUUGUAUCGCGCUUGACCAAGCCUGAAACUACAAGUAAGCUUCAAGUGAAAUUGAUACAUUACCUUGUGCAUCUCCACCAGUUACAGAUACCACCCUUGGAUGGAGGAAGAGUACUUCCAGAGAAGAUGCCACAUCUACCUAUGAGAUAGAUAAGGCAAGUCAAGACGAUACCACACUCCGGUACUUAAGUUUCGUGGUUACGAGAUCAUUCUCCCACAAUAUUUCCUAAUGUCAUUUGUACUAAAUCAUUCACUUGUACUCACUAAAGGAGAGCUUGAACCUAUGUAUUUGUGUAAACCCUUCACAAUUAAUGAGAACUCCUCUAUUCCGUGGACGUAGCCAAUCUGGGUGAACCACGUACAUCUUGUGUUUGCUUUCCUAUCUCUAUCCAUUUAUAUACUUAUCCACACUAAUGACCGGAGCAAUCUAGCGAAGAUCACAAAAAGUGACCGUUUUCGCUACCUAGGAUCUAUCUUGCAAGAGAACGAAGAAUUAGAUGGAGAUCUCAACAGAAGAAUAAAAACUUGGAUCUAACGGAGGACAUGACACAAAACCGAGUGCAAUGGCGUUCUAGGAUUCAUAUAGCCGACCCCACUUAGUGGGAAAAGGCUUUGUUGUUGUUGUUGUUGUUGUUGUUGUGAGGUUAGAGGAUAAGGAUACAUUUAAUAGCCGCUACUUUUCACUCUAAUAUUCAUGUAGUGUGAGGACACUUGUCCAUAAUAUAACAUCAAUUCAUAAUUCAACCAGUAAAUCAAAGUCUAUAUUGGUUUUGAAUUUGUGUAGCAUGUGGAUCAACAGAGCAAGUUGUUGGUGUGCAAAAUGAGAUUGUCUAAUUUAUUGUAAUUGCUCCUUUUUUUCAUCAAAAGGUUUUUUGAUGCAAUUGUUGUUGCUAAAAUUUUGAAUGCCCCUUCGGUUAUUCCACACAUUGAAGUUAAUCCCGCGUGGCAAGUGGCAAGAUUCGAGGUAUAAAGUGAGUAUGUUAACCUGGAAUUGUUCCUAGAUGUUAUUAUUUCUGUCCAAGGGGAGCCAUUGAUGGGAAACUUCUUUUGCAACCCGUUUGAUCUUUCAACUAUUCCACAUAGGGCUAUCUGCA